rnacentral:rRNA from 1 species
UACGGGGGGGUAAGCGUUGUUCGGAAUUACUGGGCGUAAAGGGCUCGUAGGCGGCCAACUAAGUCAUACGUGAAAUCCCUCAGCUUAACUGGGGAACUGCGUGUGAUACUGGAUGGCUUGGAUUUGGGAGAGGGAUGCGGAAUUCCAGGUGUAGCGGUGAAAUUCGUAGAUAUCGGGAGGAACACCGGUGGCGAAGGCGGGUCUCUGGGCCGAUACUGACGCUGAGGAGCGAAAGCGUGGGGAGCGAACAGG